rnacentral:rRNA from 1 species
UACGGGGGGAGCAAGCGUUGUUCGGAUUUACUGGGCGUAAAGGGCGCGUAGGCGGUCAGCACAAGUCAGUUGUGAAAUCUCCGGGCUUAACUCGGAAAGGUCAACUGAUACUGUGCGACUAGAGUGCAGAAGGGGCAACUGGAAUUCUCGGUGUAGCGGAUGAAAUGCGUAGAUAUCGAGAGGAACACCUGCGGCGAAGGCGGGUGCUGGGCUGACACUGACGCUGAUGCGACGAAGCCAGGGGAGGCGAACGGG